UUCAGCAGCGACACGCGUACAACGGCGAACCGUUGCAAACGACACAGCAUUCGUUUGGGUAAACAAGUGAGAAAAUAGUAAUAAUAAAUGCUUUAGAUACGGAAAAAUAAAGACGUUUCAGCAACAGCCACAUGCGAGAGACGUAAGCGUGUAGAAAGCAGCAAUAAAAGUGCGGGAGAACGGCGCUUAAGAUUCGUUAAGAAAAGCUGUGUAGGAAAAGCGUACUUUUUCAAGCGCGUAUUCCAGAAACUAUCAAAUCACUACACACACACACAGCGAAAGCAUAAACAAAGCGCUGUGUGUAUUGAUGAGCAGCAUUAGCAUUGCUUUAAGCGCAGAUUAAAUUAGCUAAUUUCGCGUAAAUUGCAUUGAAAUAAAAGCAGGCAAUUCUAAGAUAAGCGGGCAGCGCGCAGUUGAACUACUUCAGUUGCACCGAUUGAGACUGACUUGAAAAGCAGAGAAGCCUGGCGUGUAGCAGCGCGACGCAGUAAUUGCUCUGGGAGCUUUCCAACCAGCAGCGAAGGGAAUAUGACAAACAAGGCAGACAGAUAAAGAAAUUGAUAAAUAUUGCAACACAAAUAACAACAAAUAAAAAAGCAACCACACACGUGCGCCACUGCUCACACACAUACCUACAUGCAACGUUUAACCCACCAACGAGCACAAAGCGAAAAAGCGAGCAUUUAAAGAAUUGAGUGACAGUCGCAUAUGAACCAGUGGCACUGAGCGCUGACAAUGACAAUAUCCGAAACAGCGGAAACGGAUAUCAAUGCACUGCAAACCAGCGCGUGAAUACCAAAACUGACAACAGUGACGAGCGGCAGUUUACAACCCUUGCGCCCGCACAACUCGCCCCACUUAACCCUUCACAGCGCGACAGCGGAGAUGGCCGGCAGCGCGCGCGCGUCAAAUUUCGAUAGUCAGAGCGCAAGCAAUAAAUUAUUGCGCGCUUUAAUCGACGACAACAACAAUCAUAUCGAAGCUGACGAUAACCAUAACACAAGCAUAUCGAACAAUUUGAGCGCAACCAUCACUUCGGUCGGUUCAAAUGCGACGCGCGUUUUGUACACAUACUUUCAAAAUAUCACCGACCCGCAAGGCUAUGCGGCCGUGGCCAACACGACGACGACAACAACAGCGCCAGUUGUCAGUGGGAGUGUCAUCGAUAGUGCAACAACAGAAAGGCUACACAGUUUCGUCAGCAAUACCACUGAACCACAAAUUGGCAGCAACGAUCUAUCGGCGACAGCGCGAAGUGUGGGCGCCACGGUGCUCAGCACCGCCAAAACAUUGCUGCAAGCGCCAAUCAGCGCGUCCGUGAAUGCUACGCGUGCAGCAACGGCUUUGGCGAAUGCAACCGCGUCUAUUUCAGCCACCGCCGCAACCUCUGCCACCGAACUGCUGAACUCGACGCUGUCGCGUACGCUGACGACGAGCGGGAGUGGCGCUAGCGCGGCGCCCAGCAGCAUUGUUUUGACCACCUCGCCCAACGUCACUUACCUGCCACAUCAGGUCGCCAUACGCAGCUUCGAGGACUGCGCAGCGCUCUUCGCCAAUUACACGCAGCCGCAGAAUGGUGUUUUCUGCAACUGGACCUGGGACCUGUUUCUCUGUUGGCCACCGACGCCGGCUGGCGUGUUGGCGCGCAUGCAUUGUCCGCCCGUCGGACACGGCAUUGACACAACAAAGUUCGCGAACCGCAAAUGCGAGCUGGACGGCAGCUGGGGUCGCCGUCCGAAUGACACGCAGAACAACACGAACGGCUGGACGGACUAUCAGCCCUGCUUCAAGCCGGAAGUGAACGACAUGCUGCAGCGUGUGGAUGAUAUUGAUGUCUUCUUGGACAUCGCACGACGCACGCGCACGCUGGAGAUUGUUGGACUCAUAUUGUCGCUGAUCGCGCUGAUACUCUCGCUCAUUAUAUUCUGCAAAUUCUCUUCGCUACGAAAUAAUCGCACGAAAAUUCACAAGAAUCUCUUCAUCGCAAUGGUCUGUCAAGUGAUCAUACGACUGACACUGUAUCUCGAUCAGGCGUUUCGGCGUGGCAGUCAACCGGCCACGUCGAAUACGAGCACAGCGGGAAUUGAAAACACGCCCUACCUCUGCGAGGCUUCCUAUGUGCUCCUAGAGUACGCUCGCACCGCCAUGUUCAUGUGGAUGUUCAUCGAGGGUCUGUACCUGCACAAUAUGGUGACGGUAGCCGUGUUUCAAGGUCGGUUUCCACAUAAGAUUUUUUCGCUACUCGGCUGGGGUCUGCCCGUACUGAUGACCACCGUCUGGGCCAUAUGUACAGCGAUGUAUACGGACAGCGCACACGACUGUCUAUGGAACUACAAUUUGACGCCGUACUAUUGGAUACUGGAAGGACCACGUUUCAUUGUCAUAUCGCUCAACUUCUUCUUUCUGAUGAACAUCAUACGCGUGCUGGUGAUGAAAUUACGCCAGAGUCAAGCCAGCGAUAUCGAACAGACGCGCAAAGCGGUACGCGCCGCCAUUGUCCUGCUGCCGCUGUUGGGCAUCACAAAUCUACUGUACCAAGUACCUGCAUUGAACCUGAAACCACCAUGGAAAUUCGCCAUGUGGUCCUACGUGACGCAUUUCUUAACCUCAUUUCAGGGAUUUUUCAUUGCCUUGAUAUAUUGCUUCCUAAAUGGUGAGGUGCGCACCGUUCUACUGAAAAGCCUCGCCGUCUACAUGUCCGUACGCGGCCACCCCGAAUGGGUGCCCAAACGUGCCUCUAUGUUCUCUGGCGCCUACAACACUGCACCCGACACCGAGGGCCAAGGCGGUGGCACGCCGCAGGAUGGCAAAAGAAACGAUCAAUCGCCCACCACACGCCGCCUGAAUGGUCGCCGCUAUAGCGCCGCCAACACCGUGCACAUACCGGCGCGGCGUCUCUCCAGCGGCAGCACCUACCGCCAGCAGCGACGCGUCAGCAAUCACAAUAACAACAACAACAUUGGCAUACACAACACUCGCGCUCAGAGCAACACUGGCAGCGGCAGCAGCAGCAGCACCGGCGGCAGCUGGCUUUUGACGCUGUGCUUUGGCGGCCAAAAGGUACUAAGAGUACCGCCAGCGUCAACCGUACCACCCGAGUCAGUUGUAUUUGAGUUGUCAGAGCAGUAGUUGUACCGCCUUACGCCUUAUGCCCUCCCCCCACCACCACCACCAACAACACCACUCUCACUUGUAUAGCCAUGAAUUGUGCAUCCGCAACUAAGAAAUAUUUAGCCAACAAAUGUGUGAUGUCUAGCAAAAAAAUGCCUACACAAAUAUUUAUGACGACAAAACGAAAGGCAGCAACGAUUUACGCCACUGAAGUGGGGCGUCAGUGAGCCGGAAACGGAGCGUCUCGCGCUGGAAGCCCGCUAGCGCAAUGAGCGCAUGUGUUUUUUAGUCUAAUUAACUAAUUUAACUAAAAUUAUAUGACUUAAGCAAACAGUUAAACUAAGGAAUUGAGCAACCGUUGCCGAGAGUUUACUAGCUUACGAUGAUUGGCGACGAAAGCAGCGCGUAUUAGCUGCAAACAGCGCAGUCGGUGAGCCGGCAAAGUAGAUGAAUUCAAUUAGUUUCGGAAAAGUAAAAUUUUGUAGCUCUAAGCGUAUGUUAGCUAUUGUUAGACGCUUCCAGUUUGCGGCCAGUGACUGUACUGCUACAGCACAAACAUAUUUUAUACUUCUUUUUGUACAUAAGCCGUUAGCUUUUACUGUAAACAUUGUAACUAAAAUGAGUAAAAAUCCUUCGAAUAGUCUUGCUCGGCUCGAAAACUCAACUGAAGGCUCCUAUAUAGUAUUAAUAUAAUAAAAAUAAGUGUUUCACAAUACUAAACACUGCUCUAACGGUACCAACUACAGUUAGAAUUUAUUAUACUACAAGUGAUUGCUGCUCAAAAAUAGUGUUUUAAUUUUUUUGUUAAAAGCUUUCCGUUAGAAGAGAGAAAAAGCAUGCGUUCGAGCGCCUAAAAGUAGGCGGUACUAAGCAUGUAUGUAGUAAACGUUUAGCCUAUCUCUAGGCGUAUCUUUUGUUAAAACAGCUUUCACUAAUUUAAAAUACUCGAGUUAGAAACACAAUACAAACUAAACUACACUCAGCUCAAAAUCAAUAUGUAAAACUGGAAUAUAUUAUAAUACUAAAAACGCCAAAAAUUAUAAGAGAUUUGAGAUUUAGUAUAUAUAUGUAUGUAUAUAGAUAUAUAUAAUGUGGAACACAAAUAUUUUAACUAUAGAUACACCUUAUACGCCCACAGGGCACAGUAACGCUAGAGUUUAAUCAAAUUAUAUUUACAAAAGGAUAUUGCAACUAAUGAAAUGUAAAAUGUAUAGAUAUACUAUAUAUAGAAAGAGAGAGAGAGAGAGAAAGAGAGUGGAAAACGAGUCCGCAAAUAUAUUUACAAGAUAUUCACAUACAAAAGAAUGCAUAGCAGAAUUUUCAAAAUAAAAAUAAAAUAAAAAUAAAAUCAAACUAACCGCAACGUUGGCGCAUAUAACCAGAAGUAGCUGCUAUAAGGCAUAUACGACACAAAAGCAUAUCAUCACCUAAAAUGCAAAAUAACGUAACAUCACUUUUCAUAAGUUUACAGGCGAACGAAAAACGUU
rnacentral:misc_RNA from 1 species